rnacentral:lncRNA from 1 species
CCUCAAUUUAUCUUCCAAAAACUAUGCAAUUAGGUCAAUUUUCAGAAAUUAUAGAUUAUGAUUAUUGAGAGAUAGUCUCACCCUUACCUGGAUUUCAAUUGCACAAACAAAGCUACAGCAAAAUCGAUCCCCUCUUGCUCUUGUUCUCCCCUUGGCUUGGUUUUUCUCUCCCAAAACUUGUUUCACGUAAAACUGCUUCUAACCUUUUCUUUUCCUAACUCCCAAAACUAUAACUCCCCUUUUUUCAUUAAACUCCCUUAAUUUUUAUUAAAUCCUAAUUAACUCCCUAAUUUCUAAAAUAAUAUUAAUUUCCACUUAUUUUAAUUAUUAUAAUAAUAAACUAUAUAAUAAAAUGCACACACCACAUAAAUCACCAAAAAUCAUAUAAAAUCACGUAUGAGACUCCAAAUAAAUCAAAAUAAAAUAAAAUAACCACUAGGGCGUUACAAGGGUUUUCGCUUUCGAGUUUCUUGGAGGAACUGUUGUGAUUGGCUGGAUCAUUUUAGGAACUGAAGUGCUACUUUCUUGAUAUUCAGCAUCCAUGGUUUGUUUGGGAGCAAGAGAGGAGGUUUUGCUAGACAUGAUCGUUUGAUGAUGUUGGUGGUGAUUGAAGAAGAUGAAUGAACGAGAUAAUUGAGAUGAGUGAGAGGCAAAAAGAUGAGUGUUUUUGAACUUGAAAGGCGAAAAAAAGAAAGCAAUGAUAGGAGAGGAGUUAUUGCGUUUGUUUGCAGUUUCAAGUGGAUGUUGGUCAGAGAGCCUGAAUUAGCAUGCAAUAAUGAAUGUUUAGCUAUACUUCCUGACCUAUUUAAUUGCUUGGAUUGUUUCUCAUAAUACCAAGAGAAUUCAUUACUUUUCUCACAAUACCAACUAUCAGAGGUACUCCUCCUACUUUUCAAACCACCAAGGUGUAGAAGAUCAAGCUUCUUAGGAGUUACCUGAUGUUUCAACAUUGUUUUCAAUAUUCCAGUUUUCCCAUCAGUCUGAUCUUUUCUUUGAGAUGCCCACAAGUUGCCACUUUCCUUAGUUUUAACAACUCUUAAAGAAACUUCUCCUCUCUCAGGAUGUGUCACAACACAUUUACUUAAGGUCAAAUUGUUUGUUUCAGAGGCCAUCAUGUUUAAUUGCUUAGUAACAUGACUAAAUUGAGAGUUCAACAGAGUUACCUCAUUGUUGAGUUCAGAGAUUUUUGCUUGAUGACUGGCCUUUUGAAUCUCUACUCAAGUUGUAGGCAAGUAUCAAUGUUUCUGUCACUCGGGUUUUUAUGAAACAUAGCUAAAUCAUCAUAGCCCAAGUCUUCUUUAUAAGGUUUAAUGUAACAAAAAUUUGUGCUAGAUAACGCAGCAAUAUGAUUAGCAGAUUCUCCCUCCCCAUUUAGAUCAGAUUUAUCAUCCUCAGACCAAGAAGCAGUUAAGCUUUUCUUCUGUUUCUUAAGAAAAGUAGCACAUUCUGGUCUAAUAUGAUCAUAACCUUCACAUUCAUGACAUUGCACUCCUUUGUAUUGAGAGUUCAUUCCAUCAGGCCAUGCCAUCUUCUCUUUACUAGAUUGAUUGUCAAUGUUGGGUCUGAUGUUCUGAUAUCUUGACCUGGACCUUCUGUCAAAUCGUCCUAAGAUUUUUUUGAACUGUUUUCCCAAGAGUGCUAAUGACUCUUAAAUUUCCUCAUCAUCUUCAUAAUUUGCAUGUGCAUCAUCAGAAUCAACACUAGAUGCAAAAGUAAUACUCUUCCCUUUCUUGUCAAUCUUACUGUUAAUAGUUAUUUCAAAAUUUUGUAAAGAUCCUAUUAACUCAUCAACCUUUAAACUAGAUAUGUUCUGAGCCUCCUCAAUAGCAGUGACCUUCAUGUCAAAUGUCCUGGGUAGAGACCUAAGGAUCCUCCUCACAAGUUUUUCAUCAGAGAUUUUCUCUCCAAGAGAUUCAAAAGAAUAUGUAAUAUCUAACAUAUUCAAGUGGUAGUCCUGAAUGCUCUAAUCUUCCAACAUUUUCAUAUUCUCGAAUUCAGUAGUAAGAAGUUGGAUUUUAGCACUUUUUACCUUGGUAGUUCCUUCAUGUGCAGUUUUGAGAAUCUCCCAAGCAUCCUUAGCUACUGUACAAUGCUUGAUCAGUCUGAACAUGUUCUUGUCAACACCAUUGAAUAGGGCAUUCAAAGCUUUGGAGCUUCCAAGAGCCAAUUCAUCUUCAGCAACAGUCCAUUCUUCUUCUGUCUUUAACACAUCAGUCAUGUUACCAUCUUCAUCAAGUGCCACAGAAUGUUCCAAACCUUUCAGAACUGCUUUCCAUGUUCUGCUGUCAAUUGACUUAAGGAAAACACUCAUACGAGAUUUCCAAUAGUCAUAGUUAGAACCAUCCAAUAGAGGGGUUCUGUUCACAAAUCCACCUUCCUUGUCCAUAGCACUGGAAUAAAACUUCCCUAGAGCUCACCCUAAAACAAGCAGGGUGCCGGCUCUGAUGCCAAUUGAAAUUCUAGCACACUUGUUUUGAUAAGUUAUGUAUGAUGUUACGGCGUUUGAGAUGUUACGAUUAAUGUUUCAACAUCCGGCGUUAAACAGAAAUAAAAACAAGAAAAUAAAAGACAGGAAUGUAAAGAACACAAUGAGUUUGUUGACCCAGUUCGGUGAAAAACACACCUACUCUGGGGCUACCAAGCCAAGAAGGAAAUCCACUAGUGUAGUCCUUAUUCAAUAGCUCUCAGCAAACUCCUCAUUUACACUAUAUGACCUAGGAGCUACCUGUAUAGACUUCAACCUAGGAACUCCUAGAUCUGAGAUCCCAUCUCACUAUCCUAAUGGGCAGUAACUGCCCUAGUGACCUAUCAGACCUAAACCAAAACAAAGUAGAAGUUACCUUCCAACACAAACAACUAGCACCGUGUUUCACAACUUUGGUGUAGUACAAAGAGUAAUCAAUACUCACACACAGUCCUAACAAGUAUCACAAAACGAUACAAGAAAGAACACACAGUAGAUUCUAAACUUGCAUCACAAACGAUACAAGAGACGAAUACAUGAAGACUCAAACCCUAAAAAUCUAAACUUUUUAGUAUGACGGCUUGAAUGAACAAUUAGGUCUUGAAGUCUUCCUUAUAUACUGAAGCAGCUUGGGCUAAAUAAUAUGUUGGGUUUCAGUAACAAUGUAGAUCAGUUCAGCUUAAUCUGCAAAACAAGAAUCAGAAACAAAUUUGAAAAGUCCUAAAAUGUCGGAAUAUUUAUAGGAUCGUUCCAAACAAUAUUAAAUAUUUCCUAAAAUAUAAAAUACACUUUAGAAAUAUUCCACAGCUGAUUCUUAGAUGAUAUGCGCGUUGCUUGAUCAAUAAAUUAAGGAAAUAUUGUUUCCUUAAACAAUAAAGGAUGCGCAUACAAACAGGCGAGAACUCAGGCACACUGAACCGUGCCAGGAUGUUGAAGCAUCGCAUCCAACAUCUUCCAGAGACGCCUAAACACAUGUUGAAACUUUGGUUCCAACUUAGAAAACAAGGAUAUUUGUUUUUGCAACAAUGCAGCCAAUACAAAUACCCAACACUAAUGAUCAUGGAUAGUUUAACACAAUUAAGGAUGGACUUGUUUCAAUUGUAAAAAAUAUGUUUGAAAACAAAAGGUUUUAGAACAUUGAGAAGAAAUUCUCAAACGAGAUUGUCAAGAGCCUUCCUCAUGGUAAUCUUAAGAGCUAAGUUUCCUCUAAGUAUUUUCUUGUCAAGAAAAUUUAUUUCCUCUAAAAUGAGUUUGUUAUUUGUAUAUUUUAUUUUAAUAUAUGUAUUGGUAGAAUUUAAUCUCAUCUUUUGUUUCAGAUAAACUUUUUACAAAUAGGAAUUGCCAUCCUAAUUUCCUUUAUAAAUGAUUUAUUCUUAAGUUUCAACUGUCUCCUCUCAAGUUUUGAAGUUAUUUUUUAAUCACUAGUUUGCUAUUUAUAAAUGAUAUAUUCCAUGUAAUGCCUUUGCACUCUAAUUUUUUCAAAAAUAUAAAAAUACUUGUGGUUU